rnacentral:tRNA from 1 species
GGUGGCUCAGUGGUAGAGUGCUUGUCUCGCAUGCAUGAGGCUCUGGGUUCGAUUCCUCAGCACCA